rnacentral:rRNA from 2 species
CAGUCGAGCGCUUGCACAAGAAAGCUUGCUUUCUUGUUGCUUGAGCGGCGGACGGGUGAGUAACACGUGGGCGACCUGCCUAUAAGACUGGGAUAACUUCGGGAAACCGGAGCUAAUACCGGAUAAUGCUUUUGAACACAUGUUUGAAAGCUGAAAGAUGGUUUCGGCUAUCACUUAUAGAUGGGCCCGCGGCGCAUUAUCUAGUUGGUGAGGUAACGGCUCACCAAGGCGACGAUGCGUACCCGACCUGAGAGGGUGAUCGGCCGCACUGGGACUGAGACACGGCCCACACUCCUACGGGAGGCAGCAGUAUGGAAUCUUCCGCAAUGGACGAAAGUCUGACGGAGCAACGCCGCGUGAGUGAUGAAGGUUUUCGGAUCGUACAACUCUGUUGUUAGGGAAGAACAAGUACCGGAGUAACUGCCGGUACCUUGACGGUACCUAACCAGAAAGCCACGGCUAACUACGUGCCACCAGCCGCGGUAAUACGUACGUGGCAAGCGUUGUCCGGAAUUAUUGGGCGUACAGCGCGCGCAGGCGGUUCCUUAGAUCUGAUGUGAAAGCCCACGGCUCAGCCGUGGAGGGUCAUUGUAAACUGGGGAACUUGAGUGCAGAAGAGAAGAGCGCAAUUCCACGUGUAGCGGUGAAAUGCGUAGAGAUGUGGAGGAACACCAGUGGCGAACGCUGCUCUUUGUUCUGUAACUGACGCUGA